GAUGAACGCUGGCGGCGUGCCUAACACAUGCAAGUCGAGCGGCAGCGCGGGGUGCUUGCCCCCUGCCGGCGAGCGGCGGACGGCUGAGUAACGCGUGGGAACGUGCCCCAAAGUGAGGAAUAACUGCCCGAAAGGGUAGCUAAUACCGCAUAUUAUCUUCGGAUCAAAGGAUUUAUCCGCUUUGGGAGCGGCUCGCGUCGGAUUAGGUAGUUGGUGAGGUAAUGGCUCACCAAGCCGACGAUCCGUAGCUGGUCUGAGAGGAUGACCAGCCAGACUGGAACUGAGACACGGUCCAGACUCCUACGGGAGGCAGCAGUGAGGAAUCUUCCACAAUGGGCGAAAGCCUGAUGGAGCAACGCCGCGUGCAGGACGAAGGCCUUCGGGUUGUAAACUGCUUUUAUAAGUGAGGAAUAUGACGGUAACUUAUGAAUAAGGAUCGGCUAACUACGUG
rnacentral:rRNA from 1 species